ensembl:lncRNA
GCUCUAAUCUGAUAGUGGUAGAUGUCUAGCCUCCCUUAUGGGUCUAAUGUGAUAGUGGUAGAUGUCUAGCCUCCCUUAUGGCUCUAAUCUGAUAGUGGUAGAUGCCUAUUCUCCCUUAUGGCUCUAAUCUGAUAGUGGUAGUGGGUUGGAAGAUGUCUAGGCUCCCUUAUGUCUCUCAUCAGAUAGUGGUAUAUUUCUAGUCUCGCUUAUGGCUCUAAUCUGAUAGUGGAAUAUGUCUAGACCACCUUUUUGUUCUAAUCUGAUAGUGGUAGUGGGGUGGUAGAUAUCUAGUCUCCUUUAUGGCUCUAAUAUGAUAGUGGUAGUGGGGUUUUAGAUGUUUGGUAUCCCUAAUGGCUCUAAUCUGAUUGUGGUUGUGGGGUGGUAGAUGUCUAGUCUCCCUUAUGGCUAUAAUCUGAUAGUGGUAGAUGUCUAGUCUCCUUUAUGGCUCUAAUCUGAUAGUAUUAGUGGGGUUGGAAGAUGUCUAGUCUCCUUAUGGCUCUAAUCUGAUAGUAUUAGUGGGGUUGGAAGAUGUCUAGUCUCCCUUAUGGCUCUAAUCUGAUAGUGGUAGAUGUCUAGUCUCCCUUAUGGCUCUAAUCUGAUAGUGGUAGGUGUCUAGUCUCCCUUAUGUCUCUAAU